rnacentral:rRNA from 1 species
AUUGAACGCUGGCGGCAUGCCUUACACAUGCAAGUCGAACGGCAGCACGGGAGCAAUCCUGGUGGCGAGUGGCGAACGGGUGAGUAAUAUAUCGGAACGUGCCCAGUCGUGGGGAUAACGUAGCGAAAGCUACGCUAAUACCGCAUACGAUCUAUGGAUGAAAGCGGGGGAUCGCAAGACCUCGCGCGAUUGGAGCGGCCGAUAUCAGAUUAGGUAGUUGGUGAGGUAAAGGCUCACCAAGCCGACGAUCUGUAGCUGGUCUGAGAGGACGACCAGCCACACUGGGACUGAGACACGGCCCAGACUCCUACGGGAGGCAGCAGUGGGGGAAUUUUGGACAAUGGGCGCAAGCCUGAUCCAGCAAUGCCGCGUGCAGGAUGAA